rnacentral:rRNA from 1 species
AGUGAAGAAGGCCUUUGGGUUGUAAAGCUCUUUCGUCGGGGAAGAAAAUGACUGUACCCGAAUAAGAAGGUCCGGCUAACUUCGUGCCAGCAGCCGCGGUAAUACGAAGGGACCUAGCGUAGUUCGGAAUUACUGGGCUUAAAGAGCUCGUAGGUGGUUAAAAAAGUUGGUGGUGAAAUCCCAGAGCUUAACCCUGGAACUGCCAUCAAAACUUUUUAACUAGAGUAUGAUAGAGGAAAGCGGAAUUUCUAGUGUAGAGGUGAAAUUCGUAGAUAUUAGAAAGAAUACCAAUUGCGAAGGCAGCUUUCUGGAUCAUUACUGACACUGAGGAACGAAAGCAUGGGUAGCGAAGAGGAUUAGAUACCCUCGUAGUCCAUGCCGUAAACGAUGUGUGCUAGACGUUGGAAAUUU